GACGGAGGGUGCAAACGUUGUUCGGAAUCACUGGGCAUAAAGCGCACGUAGGCGGCGCACUAAGUCAGGUGUGAAAGCCCCCGGCUUAACCGGGGAACGGCGCCUGAUACUGGUGUGCUCGAGGACGGUUGGGGUGAGUGGAACUCCUGGUGGAGCGGUGAAAUGCGUAGAUAUCAGGAGGAACACCGGUGGCGAAAGCGGCUCACUGGACCGUUUCUGACGCUGAUGUGCGAAAGCUAGGGUAGCGAACGGG
rnacentral:rRNA from 1 species